UACGUAGGUCCCGAGCGUUGUCCGGAUUUAUUGGGCGUAAAGCGAGCGCAGGCGGUUUAAUAAGUCUGAAGUUAAAGGCAGUGGCUUAACCAUUGUAUGCUUUGGAAACUGUUAAACUUGAGUGCAGAAGGGGAGAGUGGAAUUCCAUGUGUAGCGGUGAAAUGCGUAGAUAUAUGGAGGAACACCGGUGGCGAAAGCGGCUCUCUGGUCUGUAACUGACGCUGAGGCUCGAAAGCGUGGGGAGCAAACAGG
rnacentral:rRNA from 1 species